GUGAGACACUACGCGUAUUCGGAGUGGAGGUGCUACGCGGUGUCCAGGAAGCUUCCUCCUGCAUUAGGAGGUCUAUACAUGCUGUUAUCUUUGCUGGACUUUCCUCCCAUCUCUUCAUCUAGGCCCAACUUGGCUUUGCAGUACUUGACUGCCCUCAGUUCUACAUAGUUGCCACUAGAGGGCAGGCGCGGUUAAGACAACAAUACUCUGGACCCACCAGCGCCAUAAUUACUGGCUGGAACUCACAUCACAGCUGCCCUAUUUACUUACCUACCGGCUGCAUUCCUUAGAACCAGUUUUUUUCCUGUUCAAAUGGAAACCAGGCAGAAUUGGGAAAAUAUUUCUUCAGCCAGCUCCUCAGCACUGCUGUCUGAGGGAGACCAUCUGACCCAGAUGCCCUUCAAAGCCCGUGAGCCACAACUACUGAGCCCGCAUACUGCAACUACUGAAGCCCACAUGCCUAGAGCCCAUGUUCCCCAACAAGAGAAGUCACCGCAAUGACAAGCCUGCACACCGCAACGGAGUAGCCCUGCUCGCCGCAACUAGAGAAAGCCUGCGCACAGCAACAAAGACCCAACGCA